GAUGAACGCUGGCGGCGUGCCUAAUACAUGCAAGUCGAGCGAACAGACGAGGAGCUUGCUCCUCUGACGUUAGCGGCGGACGGGUGAGUAACACGUGGAUAACCUACCUAUAAGACUGGGAUAACUUCGGGAAACCGGAGCUAAUACCGGAUAAUAUAUUGAACCGCAUGGUUCAAUAGUGAAAGACGGUUUUGCUGUCACUUAUAGAUGGAUCCGCGCCGCAUUAGCUAGUUGGUAAGGUAACGGCUUACCAAGGCAACGAUGCGUAGCCGACCUGAGAGGGUGAUCGGGCACACUGGAACUGAGAAACGGUCCAGACUCCUACGGGAGGCAGCAGUAGGGAAUCUUCCGCAAUGGGCGAAAGCCUGACGGAGAAACGCCGCGUGAGUGAUGAAGGUCUUCGGAUCGUAAAACUCUGUUAUUAGGGAAGAACAAAUGUGUAAGUAACUAUGCACGUCUUGACGGUACCUAAUCAGAAAGCCACGGCUAACUACGU
rnacentral:rRNA from 1 species